AAUAUUUACUGUAUUAUCAAACAACUUGCAGAGUUCCACAUCUGCUGUUUCUCAGAGCUGUUACUUACCCCAGUUUUAUCACAUAGACGUAAAGUAUGGAAAGAUCCCACAGCAAAUAAUUCUCCAUCCCCAGACCAGGCAACAGAUGUUAUUGGAUACUCAUGGGGCUGUGAGCUGUACAGUAGAUGCCCGUAACUGUCCCAAACCUUAUAUUUACAGUCUUCGCCUGCAGAAAGGAUAAGUUCAUUCACUGAGUUCCAGUCAGUUUUUAAAAUAAGCCCAUCAUGGGCCUUCCACUGCAAAAGUUUAACGUUUGGUUGGAGAGGUUUAAUAAUGAGCUGCUUUCCUGAAGUAUAGAGAACCUUUUCAGAAUCAGGUCCCCAGGCCACUGAGUACACUGGCGUUCCUUGCUGAGCUAAAGUGGAUCUCAGCAUUCCACUUUUAGACCAGAUUUUCACUUGGCCAUCUUCACCAACUGUAGCCAACGCCGUUCCCUCGGAAUUCCACCUCCCUGCAAGCACGGCUCCGCUGUGGGCUUCCACGCUUUUCUCUACUCUUCCCACUUUAGAAAUUAAGUGGAAUUUCC
rnacentral:lncRNA from 1 species